CCCUUAGAUGUUCUGGGCCGCACGCGCGCUACACUGAUGCAUUCAACAAGCCUAGCCUUGACCGAGAGGUCCGGGUAAUCUUUGAAACUGCAUCGUGAUGGGGCUAGAUUAUUGCAAUUAUUAAUCUUCAACGAGGAAUGCCUAGUAAGCGUGAUUCAUCAAAUCGCGUUGAUUACGUCCCUGCCCUUUGUACACACCGCCCGUCGCUCCUACCGAUUGAAUGUGUUGGUGAGGAGCUCGGAUUGGCAGCAGUUGGUGGUUCGCCACCGGCUAUUGCUGAGAAGUCCUCCAAACCGCCCCAUUUAGAGGAAGGCGAAGUCGUAACA
rnacentral:rRNA from 1 species